AAAAAACAAAAGGGUCUUCCCCUUUCUCUGCUAGGGUUCCAAACUUGGAACCCCGCCGCCGUCUGCCGCAUCUCCAUCGCAGCGCCACCAAGGACGGUGGCCGGAGUCGUGCGAGAAAAAGGGAUUUUUAACCCUCAUCGUGUGGCAUCCUUGAGAUCUCAGAUCUCUCAACCCGCGGGAAAGAGGGAAACCCACAACCCCUCUCGGACCCGAAUCGGCGACGGAGGAGAAGCCCUCCGACGGCGCAACCACGGUGGUUCCCGGUGAGUCCCCUUUCCCUUUUUAUUUUCUAUUUAAUGUACGAAAUAAAGAAAAUAAAAUAAAUAAAUAAAGAAAUGCGAAUCUGAUAUCAAGCCUUGAAUCUAUUUUUUUGAUUGUUUUAUUUAUAUGAAAAUGUUACAAAAGAAAAGAAAAAGCCCCCCGAUUCAGUGAUGAAGCCCCCUCUUACAAUCAAAAUCCCUAUAUUCUACUGCUAUUGUGUCUUUUCUUUUGUAGGUGGAGCAGGUGAGGGCGUCGGUGGCAAGUGGGCAUGGUGAUGGGACGUAUGCGGCGGCCAGCAGAGCUAGGGUGCAGAGGGCUGCAGCGCUAGGGUUUCUUUUCUGAAACCCUAGCUUGACUUUUGGGGAAUUGGGCUCCGAAUUUGGGCCUCGGGUUUGGGUUAGGCUAGUUGGGUUUAUUGUAUUGGGUUGUAACUGGAAUUGGAUCAUUUGGGUUUGGGUGGUUUGGGCUGAGUCUGUUGGGUUAUUGGGCUGAUGUUUGUUAGUUUAGGGUUAAUUGGGCCCAGGCAUAAAAAUUGGGCUUGUACA
rnacentral:lncRNA from 1 species